UACACUCCUGCGGGAGGCAGCAGUGGGGAAUUUUGGACAAUGGGGGCAACCCUGAUCCAGCAAUGCCGCGUGAGUGAAGAAGGCCUUCGGGUUGUAAAGCUCUUUUGUCAGGGAAGAAACGGUGGUGGCGAAUAACUACUACUAAUGACGGUACCUGAAGAAUAAGCACCGGCUAACUACGUGCCAGCAGCCGCGGUAAUACGUAGGGUGCAAGCGUUAAUCGGAAUUACUGGGCGUAAAGCGUGCGCAGGCGGUUGUGUAAGUCAGAUGUGAAAUCCCCGGGCUCAACCUGGGAAUUGCAUUUGAGACUGCACGGCUAGAGUGUGUCAGAGGGGGGUAGAAUUCCACGUGUAGCAGUGAAAUGCGUAGAUAUGUGGAGGAAUACCGAUGGCGAAGGCAGCCCCCUGGGAUAACACUGACGCUCAUGCACGAAAGCGUGGGGAGCAAACAGGAUUAGAAACCCCAGUAGUCCCA
rnacentral:rRNA from 1 species